UGGGGAAUUUUGGACAAUGGGCGCAAGCCUGAUCCAGCAAUGCCGCGUGCAGGAUGAAGGCCUUCGGGUUGUAAACUGCUUUUGUACGGAGCGAAAAGGUCUGCCCUAAUACGGUGGGCUCAUGACGGUACCGUAAGAAUAAGCACCGGCUAACUACGUGCCAGCAGCCGCGGUAAUACGUAGGGUGCGAGCGUUAAUCGGAAUUACUGGGCGUAAAGCGUGCGCAGGCGGUUAUGUAAGACAGAUGUGAAAUCCCCGGGCUCAACCUGGGAACUGCGUUUGUGACUGCAUAACUAGAGUACGGCAGAGGGAGGUGGAAUUCCACGUGUAGCAGUGAAAUGCGUAGAUAUGCGGAGGAACACCGAUGGCGAAGGCAAUCCCCUGGACCUGUACUGACGCUCAUGCACGAAAGCGUGGGGAGCAAACA
rnacentral:rRNA from 1 species